GUGGGGAAUAUUGCGCAAUGGGGGAAACCCUGACGCAGCGACGCCGUGUGAGGGAAGAAGGCUUUCGGGUCGUAAACCUCUGUCAGAAAGGAAGAACCUCCCAAGUCCGAAUAGGGCUUGGGACUGACGGUACUUUCAAAGGAAGCACCGGCUAACUCCGUGCCAGCAGCCGCGGUAAUACGGAGGGUGCAAGCGUUAAUCGGAAUCACUGGGCGUAAAGCGCGCGUAGGCCGCUUUGUAAGUCGGACGUGAAAGCCCUCGGCUCAACCGGGGAACUGCGGUCGAUACUGCGAGGCUUGAGUCCUGGAGAGGGUGGCGGAAUUCCGGGUGUAGGAGUGAAAUCCGUAGAUAACCGGAGGAACACCGGUGGCGAAGGCGGCCACCUGGACAGGUACUGACGCUGAGGCGCGAAAGCGUGGGGAGCAAACAGGAUUAGAAACCCCUGUAGUCC
rnacentral:rRNA from 1 species